AGCAGUAGCCACGGUAAUACAGAGGGUGCGAGCGUUAAUCGGAUUUACUGGGCGUAAAGCGUGCGUAGGCGGCUUCUUAAGUCGGAUGUGAAAUCCAUGAGCUUAACUUAGGAAUUGCAUUCGAUACUGGGAAGCUAGAGUAUGGGAGAGGAUGGUAGAAUUCCAGGUGUAGCGGUGAAAUGCGUAGAGAUCUGGAGGAAUACCGAUGGCGAAGGCAGCCAUCUGGCCUAAUACUGACGCUGAGGUACGAAAGCAUGGGGAGCAAACAGGAUUAGAUACCCGAGUAGUCCCUGUCUCUUAUAC
rnacentral:rRNA from 1 species